rnacentral:rRNA from 1 species
GUCCACGCUGUAAACUAUGGAUGCUAGCUGUUAUCAGUAUCGAUCCUGGUAGUAGCGAAGCUAACGCGUUAAGCAUCCCGCCUGUGGAGUACGAGCGCAAGCUUAAAACAUAAAGGAAUUGACGGGGACCCCGCACAAGCGGUGGAGCGUGUUGUUUAAUCCGACGGUAAGCGUAGAACCUUACCAGGGUUUGACAUCUCGGGAAUCUUUGCGAAAGCAGAGAGUGCCUUUUGGAACCCGAAGACAGAUGAUGCAUGGCCGUCGU